rnacentral:rRNA from 1 species
AACGCUGGCGGCGCGCCUAACACAUGCAAGUCGAGCGAGAACCGGAGCUUCGGCUCCGGGGACAGCGGCGAACGGGUGAGUAACACGUGGAUAACCUGCCCUCGGCACCGGAAUAGCCCGGGGAAACUCGGAUUAAUGCCGGAUAGCCCCACAUCCUCUCGGGGAACGUGGGAAAAGGUAGCUUCGGCCUCUGGCCGAGGAUGGGUCCGCGGUGGAUUAGCUUGUUGGCGGGGUAAUGGCCCACCAAGGCGA